GACGAACGCUGGCGGCGUGCUUAACACAUGCAAGUCGAACGGAAAGGCCCUCUUUUUGUGUUGUCCUCCAUUGGCUCACUGGUUAGUAACACGUGCAUCACCUUCCCUUGACUUUGUGAUAACUUCUUGAAACUGUUGUUAAUACCUGAUACGAGCUCCUUCUGCAUGGUGGGGUUUUGAUAGUUUCGUCGGGUGGGGAUGGACUCGCGGCUUAUCAGCUUGUUGGUGGGGUAGAGUGUUACCAAGUCUUUGAAGGGUAGCAGGCGUGAGUGGGUGACCAGCCACAUUGGGACUGAGAUAGGGCCCAGACUCCUACGGGCGGAAGCUGUGGGGAAGAUUGCAUAAUGGGCGGGAGCCUGAUGAAGAAACGCAGCGUGCGGGAUGACGGCCUUCGGGUUGUAAACCGCUUUCGCCUGUGACGAAGCGUGAGUGACGGUAAUGGGUACAGAAGCACCGGCUAACUACGUG
rnacentral:rRNA from 1 species